rnacentral:lncRNA from 1 species
GAGGGGUUAUGUGUUUUCGCCAAUUAAAAUUAACAAAAAGGACUCGAUGGGGAUAGAACUCAAAACCAUUUUAAAAACUCCCUCGAUUAUUCAAAAUUCAAGAGAUAAAAUGAAAAAUUUUAUAUUGUUUUUCGUUAUCUCGCCCGUAUAAUCGAUGCAAGAUGUAUUUUUUGUAAUAAUGACGUGUCUUUAUGAUAACAUGGACAAUCCAAAAAAUUUUGAUUUUCAAAAAUUUUCAAAAAUCUAAAAGAAGGGAGUCAAU